rnacentral:lncRNA from 1 species
UUUUUUUUCUUUUCCUCCUCCUUUUUUUUUUUUUUUUUAUUUCCUCAGGUUGCUUUUAAUCUGUAAUAUCAGCAAUAAUCACUGUGGUAUUGUUGCCUAGGCAUUCUUGAAGAGUCAGAAGUGGACUGUAAUUGAAGAGUUCAUUACCAAGAUCAGUUGGCUCCUUGAUUACAGUGGCAAGGUGAAAUAUAUAUCCUCACCAAAAAGCAACUGCUAAACCUUUAGAGAAGUCACCCACUUUUCACUCUUUUUCAUUAGGACCCCGACAAGCUUGUCAGCAAAAUUAAAGCAUGCAGGUGGUAAAACACUGCCUGCCACGAACUUCAUGUUUAAAAAAAAGAAGAAAAAGCUGUGGUUUGGAGGCUGCUAGAUAGCGAACUGCAAGCUUGUAACAUUGUGGCUGCUGAAAUCACUGUGAGGAUAAUAGGGCACGCUUGCAUUUGUGGAUAAUUCUGUUUGCUAAUUGCUCAUGAAAUUUCAGGUUGAAAGUGAAGAAGGGAAUCUUCCAGGUGGCUGCAUCUUGAAAAUCAGGUGCAGAUGUGAUUGCUUUUAUCCAGACAUGCCACACUACUGGAAGGGACUGGCUAGCUCCACACUGUUUCGUCCUCUGUGGUCGGUGUCUGAGGAGAAAAGCAGAACCCUGACGUGGGCACAGAGGAGGUCACUCUCAAAGCUUGGCCUCUGGCUACAUCUUAGUUUACAAGCUUUGUGGUGCUUGGAUCUCAUCACAAGAGUGUGAAAUCGUAGUGUUCUUAGAUUGCAGUUGGAAUAGAACGUCACAAGUAAAAUGUGUUCUAAAUUUGUAAUGGAAACCAUCUCCAGACAGGGAGGUCUCACCCUCAACCAUUAGAGUAAGUUCAACUUCUCACAGAUACUUUCUAGCAAUUAAAUUCAUGGAGAUAUACUGAAGGUAUGUUAUGAUAUUAACAACAGAUAUAGAGAAUGUAGAAGGAACAUGUAUCUUACUCUGAUUCUUGUUCCGUUACAACCAAAGCUUGAAUGUGACUCUUUCAUUCUUUUAUUUUUAUAAAAUCAGAAUGUAAUAACUUUGUAU